rnacentral:rRNA from 1 species
UACGUAGGGUGCGAGCGUUGUCCGGAAUUAUUGGGCGUAAAGAGCUCGUAGGCGGUUUGUUGCGUCGGCUGUGAAAUCCCGAGGCUCAACCUCGGGUCUGCAGUCGAUACGAGCAAACUAGAGUGUUGCAGGGGAGACUGGAAUUCCUGGUGUAGCGGUGAAAUGCGCAGAUAUCAGGAGGAACACCGGUGGCGAAGGCGGCCUGCUGGGCAGUAGCUGACGCUGAGGCGCGACAGCGUGGGGAGCAAACAGG